rnacentral:rRNA from 1 species
UAAGGAAUAUUGGUCAAUGGACGCAAGUCUGAACCAGCCAUGCCGCGUGCAGGAUGACGGCCCUACGGGUUGUAAACCGCUUUUUGUAUGGGAAAAAAUCCCUCGUUUGCGAACGAGGCUGAUGGUACCAUGCGAAUAAGGAUCGGCUAACUCCGUGCCAGCAGCCGCGGUAAUACGGAGGAUCCAAGCGUUAUCCGGAUUUAUUGGGUUUAAAGGGUGCGUAGGCGGACUGAUAAGUCAGUGGUGAAAUCCUGCAGCUUAACUGUAGAAUUGCCGUUGAUACUGUCAGUCUUGAAUAUAGUUGGGGUGGAUGGAAUGUAUCAUGUAGCGGUGAAAUGCUUAGAUAUGAUACAGAACACCGAUCGCGUAGGCAGUUCACCAAACUAUUAUUGACGCUGAGGCACGAAAGCAUGGGUAGCAAACAGGAUUAGAUACC